GGACUACUGGGGUUUCUAAUCCUGUUUGCUCCCCACGCUUUCGUGCAACAGCGUCAGUAACCAGCCAGAUAGCCGCCUUCGCCACCGGUGUUCCUCCUAAUAUCUACGAAUUUUACCUCUACACUAGGAAUUCCGCUAUCCCAUCUAGUACUCUAGUUCUACAGUAUUAAAAGCAAUUCUAGGGUUGAGCCCCAGGCUUUCACUUCUAACUUAUAAAACCGCCUUCGCACGCUUUACGCCCAAUAAUUCCGAGUAACGCUAGCUCCCUUCGUAUUACCGCGGCUGCUGGCAC
rnacentral:rRNA from 1 species